rnacentral:rRNA from 1 species
CCUACGGGAGGCAGCAGUGAGGAAUAUUGGUCAAUGGCCGGAAGGCUGAACCAGCCAAGUCGCGUGAGGGAAUAAGGCACUGUGGGUCGUAAACCUCUUUUGUCAGGGAGCAAAGGCGUCCACGUGUGGACGAGAGGAGAGUACCUGAAGAAAAAGCAUCGGCUAACUCCGUGCCAGCAGCCGCGGUAAUACGGAGGGUGCAAGCGUUACUCGGAAUCACGUGGCGUAAAGAGCGCGUAGGCGGGAGAGCAAGUUCGGUGUGAAAUCCUAUGGCUCAACCAUAGCACUGCAUUUGAAACUGGGAGUCUAGAGUAUGGGAGAGGUAGGUGGAAU